rnacentral:rRNA from 1 species
CACGUAGGCGGAUUGUUAAGUCAGGGGUGAAAUCCUGGAGCUCAACUCCAGAACUGCCUUUGAUACUGGCGAUCUAGAGUCCGGGAGAGGUGAGUGGAACUGCGAGUGUAGAGGUGAAAUUCGUAGAUAUUCGCAAGAACACCAGUGGCGAAGGCGGCUCACUGGCCCGGUACUGACGCUGAGGUGCGAAAGCGUGGGGAGCAAACA